AUUGAACGCUGGCGGCAGGCCUAACACAUGCAAGUCGAACGGUAACAGGAAACAGCUUGCUGUUUCGCUGACGAGUGGCGGACGGGUGAGUAAUGUCUGGGAAACUGCCUGAUGGAGGGGGAUAACUACUGGAAACGGUAGCUAAUACCGCAUAACGUCGCAAGACCAAAGAGGGGGACCUUCGGGCCUCUUGCCAUCGGAUGUGCCCAGAUGGGAUUAGCUAGUAGGUGGGGUAACGGCUCACCUAGGCGGCGAUCCCUAGCUGGUCUGAGAGGAUGACCAGCCACACGGGAACUGAGACACGGUCCAGACUCCGACGGGAUGCAGCAGUGGGGAAUAUUGCACAAUGGGCGCAAGCCUGAUGCAGCCAUGCCGCGUGUAUGAAGAAGGCCUUCGGGUUGUAAAGUACUUUCAGCGGGGAGGAAGGGAGUAAAGUUAAUACCGUUGCUCAUUGACGUUACCCGCAGAAGAAGCACCGGCUAACUCCGUGCCAGCCGCCGCCGUAA
rnacentral:rRNA from 1 species